GGGGAUUUGUUAUGAAAGCUGAUAACACACUCUCUUUCAUUGUGAUGUUUGAAAUAUGCUGAUAAUUGCAUUUUCAAAUGGGAACAGGAAUCAAAAGGAUUAAGUUUUUACUAGUUAGUUUGAAACAGUGAGAACAAAAGAAAUUCAGAAAAACCUGAAAUUAUUGAGGCUACUGACAGUGAGAACUACCCCAGUUUUCCUGUAAUUAUUUUGACAGUGCUAUAUUCCAACCAUCAUUUUAACAAGCUGAAGUCCAUUUAAAACAUAUACAGGAUAUAAUCAGAUGUUUAAUACAAAUUUCUAUUAUUGUACAAGUGUGAAUGAGUCUAAAG
rnacentral:lncRNA from 1 species